UACGGAGGGUGCAAGCGUUAUCCGGAUUUACUGGGGUUAAAGGGUGCGUAGGCGGGCUUUUAAGUCAGCGGUGAAAUCUCCGGGCUCAACUCGGAAAUUGCCGUUGAUACUAUUAGUCUUGAAUUAAGUUGAGGUGGGCGGAAUAAGUCAUGUAGCGGUGAAAUGCUUAGAUAUGACUUAGAACACCGAUUGCGAAGGCAGCUCGCUAAACUUAUAUUGACGCUGAGGCACGAAAGCGUGGGGAUCAAACAGG
rnacentral:rRNA from 1 species